rnacentral:rRNA from 1 species
UACGUAGGGUGCAAGCGUUGUCCGGAAUUACUGGGCGUAAAGGGCGCGUAGGCGGCCCGCUAAGUCGAACGUGAAAUCCCCAGGCUUAACCUGGGAACUGCGUCCGAUACUGGCAGGCUUGAAUCCGGGAGAGGGAUGUGGAAUUCCAGGUGUAGCGGUGAAAUGCGUAGAUAUCUGGAGGAACACCGGUGGCGAAGGCGGCAUCCUGGACCGGCAUUGACGCUGAGGCGCGAAAGCUAGGGGAGCAAACGGG